AGGAAUAUUGGUCAAUGGACGCAAGUCUGAACCAGCCAUGCCGCGUGAAGGAUGAAGGUCCUCUGGAUUGUAAACUUCUUUUAUCUGGGACGAAAACGGGAUUUUUAUCUCAAUUGACGGUACCAGAGGAAUAAGCACCGGCUAACUCCGUGCCAGCAGCCGCGGUAAUACGGAGGGUGCGAGCGUUAUCCGGAUUUACUGGGUUUAAAGGGUGCGUAGGUGGGCUUAUAAGUCAGUGGUGAAAUCUCCGAGCUUAACUUGGAAACUGCCGUUGAUACUAUAGGUCUUGAAUUAUCUGGAGGUCAGCGGAAUAUGUCAUGUAGCGGUGAAAUGCUUAGAUAUGACAUAGAACACCAAUUGCGAAGGCAGCUUACUACAUAUAAAUUGACGCUGAGGCACGAAAGCGUGGGGAUCAAACA
rnacentral:rRNA from 1 species